UACGUAGGGUGCAAGCGUUAAUCGGAAUUACUGGGCGUAAAGCGUGCGCAGGCGGCUUUGCAAGACAGAUGUGAAAUCCCCGGGCUUAACCUGGGAACUGCAUUUGUGACUGCAUCGCUGGAGUACGGCAGAGGGGGAUGGAAUUCCGCGUGUAGCAGUGAAAUGCGUAGAUAUGCGGAGGAACACCGAUGGCGAAGGCAAUCCCCUGGGCCUGUACUGACGCUCAUGCACGAAAGCGUGGGGAGCAAACAGG
rnacentral:rRNA from 1 species